UUACGACCAUAUCACGUUGAAACAUCGGUUCUCGUACGAUCACCGAAGUUAAGCAACGUCGAGCCUGGUCAGUACCUAGAUGGGUGACCCGCUUGGAAAUACCAGGAACUGUA